UCUUAUUCCUCGUAUCGCUCUGUAAUGACGUCGGAGCUAUCGUCGGCGGUGAACGAUACCUACGCUAAUCCGUCUCGAAUUCACACCAUAGAUUCCCCAUGAAUCCCUCUUUCCAACCAUGCCACUGAUUUCCCUAGAAUCUCACCAGAGCUCGUCGAAUAUCCAUUGAAAUAUUUUCUGGCCAUGACGCAACCAGUUCCAAACGACACCAAAUUUACACCCUAGAACCGCCAUAAUCUCCUCUACCCAACCCCUAACGUCUUGACUUCGAAUCUUGCCGGAGCUACUCGAAUCUUCAUUUAAGCUAUUUCUAGCCAAAACCCUAAACACUCCAAAUGGUACCAAAUUGGCGCAUUAUGGUCUUCUCAUCAUUAUCAUGAUGAAUUCCUUACUCAUGGCGUUCGAAUGUCAUCGGAAAAGGGUGGAUUUGGGAAAAUGUGGUUGACUAAUUGGGCUUCUUGCUAGUAAGUUCUUCUGCGUUGUUUCCUUUUUACUUUUCUGUUGAUAUUUUUUUAAGUUGUUAUUAACCCUUAAUAGAAAAAUUAGUAAAAAGCUUCUCCAGUUUUGAUUUUGUUUUACUCUGUUCAUAGGUUUAAAUUGUUAGUUUAGUGUUUGUUCGAAUUUGUUAAGUAAGUGCAUUUGGGUAUUAAUGAAAGUUAGUUCUGCUUGAUUCAGUAAUUAAUUCUAAUGACCCGACCUGCAUCUUCGCCCCGAUUUUCCCGUUCCAUGCUUCUAUAUGUUUCAUUAUAUGUGUUUGGUGAAUUUGAAGUAAUUCGGAUAGAGUUCGGUUAGAAAUAAGACAAUUAGUUUGUUUAAGAGAAGGUUAGCUUGGAAAAGUCAAUCGGAUGUUGACUUGUGAGUUAGAGGGCUCAAAAUGGAUUCCGAUGAUUUUUCUAGUUUCGGGUGAUGAUUUAAGGCUUAAAGGUGCAAUCGGAAUUGAAUUUGGAGAUCCGGUGCAGAAUUAGGCUUGAAUUGGCUAAGUUUGAAUUUUGGCGAAUUCCGAUUGAUAGGUGAGAUUUUGAUCCGGGGGUCGAGUUGGAAUUCCGACAGUUGCAGCAGCUCCAUUAGGUGAUUUUGGAUAUGCGUGCAAAGUUUCAGAUCAUUCGUAGGUGUUUAGGUCGGGUUUUUUUAUCAAAUGCUAGUUUCGGAAGUUUUAGUUUGACUUAGGCUUGAAUCCGUGGUGAUUUGACGAUUUUGUUGUAGACGAUAGUGUUUUCAUGCUACGAGCAAGUUUAAAUGAAGUAAUAGAACAUAUCUGUGCAUUUGGUUGAGGUCCCGAGGGCCUCGGGGUGAUUUCGGAUGGCUAACGGGGAAUUUUGAACAUGAAUAGUGCAGCAAAAAUUUCAGAGCAGAAUUGCUCUCUGCGAUCGCAAGACUGGGGCUACAAUCGCAUAGAAGGUUCUGAAGGGGGUGCUAAUUUGGUCUCUGCGAUCGCGUAGGCUUAAGUGUUUGGUUAGUGCGAUCGCGUAAGAGCGCGUGCGAUCACGUAGGGUCUUUGGAUAGUGUUCUGCGAUCGCAUGGUCUUACCUACGAUUGCGUACGGGGAAUUUGAGGGCCUGGAUUUUUGGUCAAUGUGAUCGCAUAGAGAAAUCUCUACAAUAGUCGGACAGAAUGUUUAAAAACCCAUUGGUCCGCGACCCACAUCAUUUUUCCACCAUUGUUACUCCGCCAAGAGAGCUUUCUGACCGAUUUGAAGAGGGUUUUCGACGGGUUUUGAUUUAAGGUAAGUCUCUUGACUUAGAAACACCAUUUUAUCGAAGAAUCAACACUCAAAUUCAUGAAAGUGGGUUGAAAUUAUGAAGAAUUAGGGCUUGAUUUUUGAAAACGAAUUUUUAGGAUUUGAAAGGCCAUUUGAACUCCACUUUUGGUUAACUUUAUAUGUACGGACUCGUGGAAAGACGAGGAAUCCGUUGAUGUAAUUAUCAAUUUUUUUUUGAAAAGUGGGCCUCGGGGCUCGGGUUUUACCAAUUUCGUGAAUUUUAGUACUUUUCAAGUAUUUUUGAUUGGGUUAUGUUUCUUUAGCCCAUAUUUAUGUAUUUAUUGUGAUUUUGACUAGAUUCGACGUGCGAGGAGGUAGAUACAAAAUGAAAAAGCAUUGUGGACCAGCCUACGAUCGGUUAGAGGUGAGUAGUUUGUAUAGAUGAUGGCCUGAGGGUUUGAAACCCCGGUAUAUCACAUUGUGACGCUAUAUUAGGGCGUGACUCGCACCCCAUGGCAGGUGCGGAAAUAUUUAUGACUGGGGAUUUGUGACUUGGCCCAUCCCAAACAAGAAUUAUACCGUAUUGGCAAUUGAUACACACCCUAUAUUGAAUAUAUCUGGGCUUAUUGACAUGUUUGGGGCCUUGUGCCGAUUUGUAGCAUCCGUCUAGGAUGAAUAUCAUUGUGAUAGCAUGAUUUGCAUAAUCAUUGAUCUCGGUCCUAUGUUUAAUCAUUGUAAUGAAAUGCUAAGUCACCUUUCCUGAAAUUAAUCAGUGGAUGAAUAUAAUUUUGAUAGCAUGCUUGUAUAAUCAUUAUUCUCAGUCCUGUGUUUAAUCACUGUUAUGAAUUGCCAAGUCACUUUUCCUGAAGUUAAAUAACUAAGUUAUAUUCUUCUUAAUCAUUGGAAUUUGGGAAAUUAAUUGAAUAUGUUAUGUGACUCAUAUGCAUAAUGUGAACUGAGUAUGGAUCGGGGCUGCACGUUGCAGUGAUGAUAUGGUGGUAUUGCGCUUGGGCUGUAGGAGCCCUUCCGGAGUCUGUACAUCCCCCAGUGAGCGCCGUCUACGUUAAAUGGAUCGGACUGUAUGUCGCAACGGGUCAUGUGCAUUGCAUUGCAUUCUUGUAUUAUACUUGACUGAUAUACUUGAUAUUGUUUUACUGUUGGUUCAUUGUUAAUGUGUCGGACUGUUAGUUUUAGCUUUACUUUGUGGCAUUUUGUGGAUUCUUAUCUUCAGACAUUUUAUAUACUUAUUACUCACUGAGUUGGUAGUACUCACCCCUACUCCCUGCACCUUGUGUGCAGAUUCAAGAGCAGUGGAGGCUUAGCUGAAUAGUCGUUGUCUCCAAAGCUUAUCAGAGUUGUUGAGGUAGCUUCUUGACGUUCGCAGGACCUGACUACUACUCCUAUUUCAGUUUUAUUUAUAUUUGCGUUUCCAGACUUACGUAGUUUCGUUCAAAUAAUUGUUAUCCAGUUUGUUUUAGAGGCUCUAGACUCGUGAACCCAGAUCUUAUGGGAGUGUUUUUAUCAGAUUUCGUAUCUCUUCGUAUUAUGUUUCUAAAAUAUUGUAUUAUUAUUCUAAAACUAUUACAUUCUCCUUAAAUUGUCGGUUUUGAGAUUUAUUGUUGAAUUGGGAGCGACUGUUGGUCGGGCUUGCAUAGCAUUAGGGUUGGGCGCCAUCGCGACCGGCUUUGGGUCGUGACAUUGAUUUAGUUUAGUAAUUCCGUUUGGGUAUUAUCUGGUUACGUUAAUUAGUUCAACAAUUGCAUUUUUAUGAUUUUUCUUCAUUUGCUGUUUUCUUUGAAGUAGUUGUUAAGAACUGGUUAGCUAUUAAGUUCAUAGGCUUCAAGUUAAUUUAGGCUAAUAGUAGAUUUGGGUUUAGUUGAAUGGGGGAGUAAUUUUGGGAAAGGGCAGAAUUGGGAAUACAUAUGGGUCAAUUUAGCUAAGAGCAUCCUAGAAUCUUCUAGAUAGGGGGGCAAGGUGAGAAUUUCAGAAAGGGAGAGUACUUACUAGUGUGACAAGUUAGGAAAUAAAGGGAUACAAAAUAAAAACUAAAUUGAGUGAGGGACCUAAAAGAAACAUAAAAUCUGAUCACUCACCUUACUUGCCUAUAAAAGGGCAUCAAAAUUGUCUUGCUAAGGGUUUGGGGGCAGCCAAAAAAUUUCCUCUCAAAAUCUGAUCACUUUCAAUUUUCCAGUUUAAAUUCUGUUUAAUUCUAUACAAAAAACCCAAAACAGUAGAGAUUUCCAAAAACAAAACAAAACAAAACAAAACAAAUGCAUUAAAGCUCUCCAACAGUAUUGUUCCAUUGGAUAUUUUAGCUCACUUUCAAGUUUGGUUGAUUAAUUUUGAGUUUUUGGUUGGAUACUUGGUAGUUAAGGAUUGGGAAGUGGCUGAUUGUGAAUUUGAUUCCAUUUCUAGCGGGUUAUGAUCAGUUUUUAGUCGUCUUACACUGAUUUGGUUGAGUCUAGUGCAUAAUGAUUUAAUUGAGGUUGUUCUUAGUGCAUUUUGGUUCAACUUGCUGCUUUGAUUCGAGUUUUGAACAAUUCCUGAACUGCUGGCUUAUUCCUAAGGGGUUUUGGUUAUUCUGUGUUGUUGAAGUAAUUCCUGAGUUGCUGCAGAUCAUCACUGAUUCACUGACUUCCUCUUCUUCUUCUUUGAAUCUUCAUUAUCCAGGUACCUUUUUGAAACUGACCCAGUGUAUCUGUUCCAAUUGAAAGCUGAAAUAAAAUGGCCUUCUAUGGAGUUUAUGUGUUCAAACUGUUAAGUAGAGUAGCAACAGAUAAUCUGCAUUAUUGUAUUUUUUUAACUUUGUUUUAUGUGAUAUAAUUCAGGAAUUAAAGCAAGCUGGAAUGGAAAUUGGUUUUGAAGGUCAUAGACUUCACUUGUAGUAAUAGCAUUGGGUGAAGCCAAUAGGAAGGCAGUGAGUCAGUAGUGUGUUAAAAUCUUAAGCAUGUAUAUGUAUGAAAAUCGUUCGUAUAUACUGUUGCUUGAAUCUUGUUAAUUAAUAAACUGACAGACGUUUAGGUUAACACUGUUUAGGGGUGACAACUUUAUUAAUUAAACGUUGCAUGACUUUGAAUGUCAAAUUGGAAUUUGAAAAUCAUGACUCAUAGCUAGUUAGUGUAUUUACUUGAUUUGAGUAAAACUAUUAGGGUAAUUUGAUAGAAAUCCUUUUGAUUCUAGUUGAUUCAAUUUGGUUUUAUACAAUUUAGAUAAAAAAUCAGAAGGGUCUGAACUAAACAUUUCAUUCCUAGCCUCCUUUCCCUUUGGAUAAUUUUGCUUAUGUUGGGUUUUGAAUCUGAUGUAGGGAGUUAUGGCCGUUUGCGCCUGUUUUAUUACAUGUAGGCCCAAUUCCCUCCCUAAAGGUGGGAUCGAUUCCCAGCGCCUGUUUACAGGCAUGCCCCUUUUAUUCAUAAAUUUGGAUUUGGUUAACAAUUCAGUUCAUAGCUUAGCAUCGUGUAAUUCAGCCCGUGAUUAAUCACGAAAUUUUAGAGAAAAAAUGAAUAGAAAAUAGUAGUUACUUCUAGGUCGGUCUUUAAUAAAAUGAUG
rnacentral:lncRNA from 1 species